AUUGGGGUGGCAGAGCAUGGUAAUUGCAAAAGACCUAAGCCCUUUCAAUCAAGGGUUCAAAUCCCUUCCCCAAUU
rnacentral:tRNA from 1 species